rnacentral:lncRNA from 1 species
AUGUAUGACGAAAAUAAGACAUUGCUCUAUCUCCUCCAGACCAGACCCGGGUGGGUCUCUCUCCUCCAGACCAGAGGGGGCACAUCUCCACCAGAGAAGGCCAGAGGGGGUCCAUCUCCACCAGACCUGACCAGAGUGGCUCCAUCUCCUCCAGGUCAAAGCAGACAAGGUCACCGCUACUUCUUCCGUGACAAACACGCUGCCAUGGCAAUUGCAGAAAAACAGCGAAGGCCGGCCGUAAUGUCAUCGUCGGGUCCUGGUGAGUAUUGUGUGCAUUUCUCUUUAUGUAUGUGAGUGCAAUGUGAGUGUGUUUGUAUGUGUGUACUAAAUCUGGGCUUUUUUUUUAAAUCUUCUGGGGACAAAAACUCAGCAGAUGUUUGUUCAAACUUGACAAAUUGACCUUGUGGGCACAUCCUCAAUAGGAAAAACUAGAUUUUGUGGCUUAGGGGUUUGGUUUAGGGUGAAACUCCCAAAUAGGGUUAGGGUUAGGCAUUAGGGUUAGGUUAAGAUUAG